rnacentral:rRNA from 1 species
CUCCGGGGCGACCCUGCCUUCGGGCGGGGGCUCCGGGUGGACACUUCAAACUCUUGCGUAACUUUGCAGUCUGAGUAAACUUAAUUAAUAAAUUAAAACUUUUAACAACGGAUCUCUUGGUUCUGGCAUCGAUGAAGAACGCAGCGAAAUGCGAUAAGUAAUGUGAAUUGCAGAAUUCAGUGAAUCAUCGAAUCUUUGAACGCACAUUGCGCCCCCUGGUAUUCCGGGGGGCAUGCCUGUUCGAGCGUCAUUUCACCACUCAAGCCUCGCUUGGUAUUGGGCAUCGCGGUCCGCCGCGUGCCUCAAAUCGACCGGCUGGGUCUUCUGUCCCCUAAGCGUUGUGGAAACUAUUCGCUAAAGGGUGUUCGGGAGGCUACGCCGUAAAACAACCCCAUUUCUAAGGU